CUCUGCCAUCUCUUCUCUUAUAGACGUCAGGAAUCUUGGACCCGUUCUUGAAGCAGGGAAUUGAGUAACUUUCUCAAGUGCACGUUGACACUCCUUAUAUUUCUACCAGUAUCACCGAGGUUCAGUAGGUCUCAUGAAAGAAUUUCAAGCCUGGAAUUCUCUAGAGAAGCCUCCAUGCCGGUAUUCUCCAUUGUAGCAGAACAACUCUCAUCAAUAUGUUCGCAUCUCAGCUCAAUCCGUCCAGCCAGCUUUUCUGCCAGCUUCUCUUCGUGUCUCCCAUAAAGUCGACGUCAACAGGACUGGGCAAGUCUGGAAGUAACUCUGAGCCUCACCAGUAAGCUGAUGACAGGCAGAUCUUCCACUGUCUGCCUUUCAGAUUCUGGAAACUGACCCGUGAACUCAGGUCUUUGUGCAGAAGCAGUAACUCGAACUUGCACAGCUUCCCGAGCAAAAGACCAAAGCCAAGCUCCACAGAGGGCGGCAGACCCUCCAUCACACUGAUCCACCCAUAGAAUUCUGCCCAGGUACCUUGGUUCCACCAGCCACAACAAGCCUCGCGGUACACAGCAACAUUCCAUCUGGAAUUCCAUCCGACGUCAGGAAUUUUGGACCCGUUCUUGGAGCAGAGAAUCGAGUAACUUUCUCAAGGGCACGUUGAUUCUCCGUAUGUUUCUGCCAGUAUCACCGAGGUUAAGUAGGUCUCAUGAAUGUCUUUCGAGCCUGGUAUGCUCUAGAGAUGUCUCCAUGCCGAUAUUCUCCACUGUAGCAGAACAACUCUCAUCAAUGUGUUCGCACAUCUCCUCAAUCUAUGUAGCCAUUUUUUCUGCCAGCUUCUCUUCGUGUCUCCCAUAAAGUCGACGUCAACAGGACUGGGCAAGUCUGAAAAUACAUCGGAGCCUCAACAGUAAGCUGAUGACAGGCAGAUCUUCCACUGUCUGCCCUUUCAGAUUCUGGAAACUGACCCAUGAACUCAGGUCUUUGGGCAGCAAGAGUUUCUCGAACUUACUCAGCUUCCCGAACAAAAACCUAAGCCAAUCUCCACAUAGGGCAGCAGAACCACCAUCAAACUGAUCCACCCACAGAAUUCUGCCCAGUUACCUUUAAUCCACCAGCCGCAACAAGCUUCGUGGUACACACCAACAUUCCACUUGGAAUCCAUCCGACGUCAGGAAUCUUGGACCCGUUCUUGGAACAGAGAAUUGAGUAACUUUCUCAAGUGCACGUUGACUCU